CGGCGGAGGGAAAGGGGUCGGCAGGUGAAAGGGAGAGGUGCGGGUGAUGCGAACGCCGAAGAAGGCGCCGACGAGGAGACCUCCAUAGAGGGAGGACACGCGGCCGCCGAUCUAUCGGACAGCUCCAAUCGCCUCGUCGACGGGGCUUUGCCCACCACGGCCCUCACGUCCACGAAAUCACGGUUUCCACCUAUCCUUGGUUUUAGGGUUUCCAAUCUGUUUCUCGUGUCUUCUUUUAUUGCGCCUCUAGCGUUCGUGCGCGAUAUUUGAUUUGCGCCAUCGGUUCGGCUGUGAAAGAUGAUGCAGCCGAUGGUUGUAGUGGAUAACACAUUAGAUGGGGUUCAUCUUUUCAGAAUCUGCUGCUGAGUUCGCACAUUUCACUAUGUUCAUGUAUAAUCUAUUGGAGGACAUCUGUCAACUUAUUCCUUUUCGAUGUAGUGGCUUAGCAAGAAAUGGAGCUUUAGUGAUGGAUAUAUGGUCAGAGGAGAUAGAUCACUUUCUAUCAGUGGCUGCUCUGUAUUGAGGUUAGAUAGUAAGAUUUAGUCUGACAUGAGGCUGGUUUGCAGAAAUGAUAAGUUGAAUUAGCAUAUGAGUUAGAGGGCAAUUAUAUGUAUGUGAACACAUUGAUGAUUCAAGUAUGCUAGCAGAUAAAAAGUGGAAGUGAUGAGCAUAUAAGAGAUGUAGUCGUGUGCUCAUGAAGAAAAUAAAAGUUUGCCAUCCUGGAACUUGAUUUUUGCUUCCACAAGUAUGCUAGAGCUGCCAGUAAGAGGGUGUAAACUCGAGAAUCAUUUUUCUUUGAACAUGAAUAUGCAAAAUCUAGGAGGUAAAUGAUCAAUAUGAGCUGAGGAUUAGGCCCGGAAAAAGAGAAAAAAAUGUCACAAAUAUAGGGAGGCUAAAAGCAAGGAAUAUUAUAGUGGAUAAUUAAUUUCCAGAGCCUAUCUAGGAUGAGUUUGGUUGGGACAACUUAAGAACUUAUAUAUCAGACAAAAGCAUGGGAGCAUCUAGAGCUUAUAUGCUUACACUUGGAAUAAACAGUAAGAACUUUUCUUUUGGAGCAGAAGGUGUGCAGUUGAAAACUGGAAAUAUGUGAUCUGGAAUAUAAUCUUUGUAAUGCAAAUUCAAAUUGAAUAUUGGAUGUUAAGAGGAGAAAAAAGAGGUGAUAAUCUAUAAUUCCUAAGCUUUGUUUGUUAAAUUGUUUGAAUAGAUUGCACUAGGUACUCAUGGGUGUACUGCAUCUACAUAGAUCAAGGCAAUGUUGUGGUGACUGGUGUUGUCAGAAGUUCUAAAAAGUACUUUCUAUAUACUUAUGCUCAAUUUGGCUGUUUGCAAGUGACAUACCCAAAUAUUAUGACUUGAAAUUUCUAGAAACAAGUGAAAUUUCGACAAAUACAUUUGACGACUCAUUUUGCAUAAGAUAUUAGGAAUCCACUAUGUAGCUGAUAUAAGCAUCUGAAUCCUCUGUUAUCCCAUUUUUUUGUGAUGAUCAAAAGAGAACAUAGUUUUGCAGAAGUAUAAGAGUGCAUCACCUGGUGCAUUGGUUAGAUUGUCAAUAUAGGGACACUUUCUGUCCCACAAAUGGCAAUUGUAUUCUUGGUUUACUGGUAAUUAAAUGAACAAGACUGUCUUUGAUGCUAUUAUACAUUAAUUAUGAACUAUGUAAGAUGUCCAUUCUGGAUAAUGUAUUCUUUGUUGGGGCAUAAAUUUCCUUUCUGGAUAGAUCCUGGAUACUAAUCUUGUGAAUUCUUUAUGUACGUCUCUUUUUUUAUUAUGCAUUACCAACACUAGAAUGGCUGGCCAGACAAAAAGAAGACGAAAAACUAACAUUAGCAUCGCCUACAGAUUGAUCUUUCCUUUUGUGUUUGGCUCUGUAUUAUGGAGUGACACCUAUACAUUUCACUCUUUUGUAUCAGUUAAGCCAUUUCUGUUAAAACACAUUAGGCUUCUCUGGAAGGGAAAUGUUUGACAAAGAGAAUAAUUUUCCAACCUUCAAUUUAUUUGUGUAGUUUGAAGAAAUAUUUAUGUGUGAUAGAUAUUAUACUUUUUCUAAAUCUUCAUGAUUUUUUAAAAAUAUAGUACAGUCUUUUUGGUUUCUAAUUGUUGCUCGUGGACUCUGCUGUUGCACUUAGAUCUUCUGACCAUGUUUUGCAAUCUUAAUAUAUUAUUUAAUCAAAUUGGUAGAUUCCUGAUCAGAUGGACCUUGCCUGAUGUGUCAGUCUAUCACAUUCAGUGUAUCUUGAAAUGUUAUCAAAGUUGAUCUUCUAACAAGCCAAGCAAAAACACCAUUGCCAUCUUCUUUAAUUCUCUGAAUCAGCUACAUUGUUGAAUUCCCAAACUGCCUUUUCUAUUUGUCCCUAAAAUUACAGGAAUAUUGCUAGCCAAAAGGCAUGUUCAUAUUAGCUGUUCUUACUGAUGGAAACCCUUGAAAUUUGGACAUUAUUUGAAAAAAAAAUUAUGCUCUAAGAGGAGUGAUUAAAUAGUAUUUCGGAUAACAUCUGGGCAUCAGUAUCUAUUCAGAUAAUAUCAGCUAUUAUUUCCAUUUACUGGAGACAAAAUAAGUUUGGAAAUUUUGAAAGAUAAGAUUCCAAUGCUUCUACUGAAUUUAGAAAUAAAAAUAUAAAGUUAUUAAGAAAGUGUUUUCAGAUAAACUGCUCCAUCAUUAAGGCUUAUUAUAUGAAGGAUAUAAAUAUAAAUAACUUCUCCUGCAUGAGUAUUCCGUGAAUGAUUCUUCAUAGGUUAUGUUCUAUGGUAUAGAAAGGGUAUAGAAAUGAAGUUAAGGAAUCAAAACUCCAUAUAUCAUUUACGAUAAUAACUUCUUUAACCAGGGUACAUAUUAUGCUUGAAAUUAAAGUUAGCUGCUGGUUGGGAAUUCAUGCUGUUAACAUAAUUACAGGCUACUGUUUUUGCAGCAAAUACGUUGAUCAUUGUUGAGUACAGGCCAUCUAAUGCAAUCUGUUUGCAAUACAUAUCAUGAUGCUUUUCUGCUUAAGGUUGUGAGACUCCAAGAAUGUUAUGCACAGAAAUCAUAAGAAGGGUUUACACAUGUAUAUUGUAGCAAAUGGUUUUACUCAUUAUGUGCCUGCAUUUGGUGUUCUUUUUCCUUGUAAUGCUGAAAACUUAGUAUUCUUUUUCCCUUAUCAAAAGACAAAUUGGUAGAGAUUUUAGACUUUCCAUGACAGCUUUUCAUAUGCAGGUUUUUGUAGAAAAACUAGAGAAUUUUUUUUUUCUUUCUGCGUAUUGAUGGAUAAAUCUGAUGCCAAGUAGGGGUUAGCAUCGCUUGAUGUGCCGCCUGCACAAACCUCCGAAGGAUCUAUCAGAACGGCUAUUCCUUCACAAUUCUUUGCCAAAGAAGGAUCUCAUUCAUGCAUACGAGGUUUGCAAGUAAAUAUAAAGAUUGAUUCGUUAAUGAUACAAGUGAAAUCGUUAUUCAAGUAAUUGAAUCCUACUUUUUUCGUUGGUAGUUUUACAAUGAGCAUCUUCUUCUAGACGAGAUGUCGAAUGGACAGCGAGUUCGACUGCUUGUUGCUGCCAAACCAAGAAUAAUGUCGUUGUUUC
rnacentral:lncRNA from 1 species